rnacentral:snRNA from 1 species
GGAUGUGAGGGCGAUCUGGCUGUGACAUCUGUCACCCCAUCCAUCACCAGCAUUGAUUCAGGGAUUUGGCUGGCAGGGUGGGGUCCCCUUCCUCCCUCACCAUUCCAUGUGUGCCCCUCCCAAGCUCCAUGCUCAGUGGAAGAGGACCAUCCUGAUAGAGGCGGGUACACAAUUAGCUGUACUCCCCUGCUAGAACCUCCAAACAAGCUCCCAAGAUCCAUUUCUAUUGUAUGGCUUUAAAAUUUUGUUUUAUUAGUGCAUGUUUACAGUACAUAAUGUUUACAUUCAU